rnacentral:sRNA from 1 species
CUCAAUUUUCCUGUCUCUUCCCCAAAUUCCAAUUCCCCUUCCCCUCCCCGCCAUCACUGAUCAACUAGGACUCUACCCAAGAAGAGCUUUGAACAGAUCAGUGCCAAUAUAACUAAGUUUAACAUUCAGGGCCUUGUCAUCAUUGGGGGCUUUGAGGCUUACACAGGGGGCCUGGAACUGAUGGAGGGCAGGAAGCAGUUUGAUGAGCUCUGCAUCCCAUUUGUGGUCAUUCCUGCUACAGUCUCCAACAAUGUCCCUGGCUCAGACUUCAGCGUUGGGGCUGACACAGCACUCAAUACUAUCUGCACAACCUGUGACCGCAUCAAGCAGUCAGCAGCUGGCACCAAGCGUCGGGUGUUUAUCAUUGAGACUAUGGGUGGCUACUGUGGCUACCUGGCUACCAUGGCUGGACUGGCAGCUGGGGC